AGAGAGGGUUCGCGCUCUCAUGCUGUUUUUACAGUUAAAAUAGAGUCAAAGGAGGAAGUCCUCAGCCCCCUGGAUGACAAAGUGGUCAUCAUCGAACCACGAUGGACGAACUAAAUAUAUAUACUAGGAGGAAGUAGGUGGUUUCCAAAAAAGCAAUAUAUCACAGAUAAAUCUAAUUGAUCUGGCAGGAUCAGAGAGACAGAAAGCUACCAGGAGAUCAUGGGAAAGCAUGGACUAGGUGGAACAAAAAUGGAGAAAGAUUUGAAGAUAUGUGUGCCACAAGCAAAUUGGUGAUAGGAGUAACUGUCUUCCCACACAAACGAAUAAACAAGGCAACAGACCAUGUCUGUAUUGUGAAGAAGUUCUGUCAAUCUCUUCAGGAUGAACGUGUCAGACAAGGAGCAGUUGUUGCUUCAGAUCAUCAUCUUCUGAUCGCCAGAGUGAGACUGAAGCUGAAGAAGAGUUGGACUGGAGUGUCCAGCCAAUGCCAACACUACAGCACCAUUGUUAUGAAAGAUGGCGAAAAUGAUCUCCAAAAAUAGAGGAUUUCAAUCUUUCUUUCAAAGAUUAUCAAAAAAUCUUUUUACAGGAGGAUUCAUUUAAGAAAUUGUAUGCUGUCAUUAGUAAACUUCAACAAGAAAAUCAAAACUUGCUGGAAAAGUUGAACUUUAUGAAUCACUUAGAGUUUAAGGACCACAGCUGCUCCAAGCCCCCAGCAGUAGACUGCAUCAGUGAAGGAGAAGAGGAGGAGGAAAGCAAUUUAUCUUGAACAACUGAAAAAAAGAGACAUUGACAUCCAGACAGACAUGAACACUGCAAAUGGUUUAGAUGAGAUAAGAAAAUGUGCGAUGGAUAAGCUUGAAAUCAGUCAAGAUAGGAAAAGCAUGGACCUAGUGAAGCAAGACGAAAUGUGUUCAACAGAAUAAUGACCAGCCGAAACUUGAAGAAGAACUUUUUAAAAGAUAAGCUGGAUGAAUUGAUCUCUAAAGAGAAAUCGCUGUCACGACAAAGGGAUAGUAAAACAGACAUAGAGAAAAAAGUAUUGGAAAGUAAGGCCCGAGAGCUUGAGGAGAAACUCCUGGUAAUAAGCCCCCAGAGGAUAUUCCAGCUACCCGUCGCUUCAGCGUGGCCCUCCGGUGGAAACAUCCAGAGGUGGAUCUGGACAGGCUAAG